CGCGUAAGAACUUGCCUCACAGCUAGGGACAACAUUUAGAAAUGAAUGCUAAUACCUGAUAUUAUGAUUUUAAGGCAUCUUAGAAUUAUGAAAGCUAUAAGCACUGUGAGAGAGCUUUGCGUCCCAUUAGCUAGUUGGAGAGGUAACAGCUCACCAAGGCGAUGAUGGGUAGCCGGCCUGAGAGGGUGAACGGCCACAAGGGGACUGAGACACGGCCCUU
rnacentral:rRNA from 1 species